AGUUCGAUUAUGGCUCAGAUUGAACGCUGGCAGGAUGCUUUACACAUGCAAGUCGAACGGCAGCACGGACUUCGGUCUGGUGGCGAGUGGCGAACGGGUGAGUAAUGUAUCGGAACGUGCCCUAGUAGCGGGGGGAUAACUACGCGAAAGCGUAGCUAAUACCGCAUACGCCCUUCGGGGAAAGCAGGGGACCUUCGGGCCUCGCACUAUUAGAGCGGCCGAUAUCGGAUUAGCUAGUUGGUGGGGUAACGGCUCACCAAGGCGACGAUCGUAGCUGGUUUGAGAGGACGACCAGCCACUGCAGGACUGAGACACGGCCCAGACUCCUGCGGGAGGCAGCAGUGGGGAAUUUUGGACAAUGGGGGAAACCUGAUCCAGCCAUCCCGCGUGUGCGAUGAAGGCCUUCGGGUUGUAAAGCACUUUUGGCAGGAAAGAAACGGCACGGGAUAAUACCCCGUGCAACUGACCAGUACCUGCAGAAUAAGCACCGGCUAACUACGUGCCAGCAGCCGCGGUAAUACGUAGAGAUUGCAAGCGUUAAUCGGAAUUACUGGGCGUAAAGCGUGUGCGCAGGCGGUUCGGAAAGAAGAUGUGAAAUCCCAGGCUUAACUUUGGAACUGCAUUUUUAACUACCGAGCUAAGAGUGUGUCAGAGGAGGUGGAAUUCCGCGUGUAGCAGUGAAAUGCGUAGAUAUGCGGAGGAACACCGAUAGCGAAAAGGCAACCUCCUGGGAUAACACUGACGCUCAUGCACGAAAGCGUGGGGAGCAAACAAGUUAGAUACCCUGGUAGUCCACGCCCUAAACGAUGUCAACUGGCAGCUGUUGGGGCCUUCGGGCCUUGGUAGCGCAGCUAACGCGUGAAGUUGACCGCCUGGGGUACGGUCGCAAGAUUAAAACUCAAAGGAAUUGACGGGGACCCGCACAAGCGGUGGAUGAUGUGGAUUAAUUCGAUGCAACGCGAAAAACCUUACCUACCGCAACAUGUGCCGGAAUCCCGAAGAGAUUUGGGAGUGCUCGCAAGAGAACCCGGAACACAGGUGCAUGGCUGUCGUCAGCUCGUGUCGUGAGAUGUUGGGUUAAGUCCCGCAACGAGCGCAACCCUUGUCAUUAGUUGCUACGAAAGGGCACUCUAAUGAGACUGCCGGUGACAAACCGGAGGAAGGUGGGGAUGACGUGAAGUCCUCAUGGCCCUUAUGGUGGGAGCUUCACACGUCAUACAAUGGUCGGGACAGAGGGGUCGCCAACCCGCGAGGGGGGAGCCAAUCCCGAAACCCGAUCGUAGUCGGAUCGCAGUCUGCAACUCGACUGCGUGAAGUCAGAUCGUAGUAAUCGCGGAUCAGCAUGUACGGUGAAUACGUUCCCGGGUCUUGUACGCACCGCCCGUCACACCAUGUGAGUGGGUUUUGCAAGUAGUUAGCUGGCCUAACCGUAAGGAGGGCGAUUACUACGGUAGGAUUCAUGACUGGGGUGAAGUCGUAACAAGGU
rnacentral:rRNA from 1 species